rnacentral:rRNA from 1 species
UCGGUGACAGGUGGUGCAUGGUUGUCGUCAGCUCGUGUCGUGAGAUGUUGGGUUAAGUCCCGCAACGAGCGCAACCCCUAUUGUUAGUUGCCAUCAUUCAGUUGGGCACUCUAGCGAGACUGCCGGUAAUAACCGGAGGAAGGUGGGAUGACGUCAAAUCAUCAUGCCCCUUAUGACCUGGGCUACACACGUGCUACAAUGGUUGGUACAACGAGUUGCGAGUCGGUGACGGCGAGCUAAUCUCUUAAAGCCAAUCUCAGUUCGGAUUGUAGGCUGCAACUCGCCUACAUGAAGUCGGAAUCGCUAGUAAUCGCGGAUCAGCACGCCGCGGUGAAUACGUUCCCGGGCCUU